UUGGUGGAGGACUUGCUGCUGGUGUA
rnacentral:misc_RNA from 1 species